AAUCUUAAUACAAAAUUGGAUCCAAUACAAGUGCAAUUCUUUAAGAUUUUAUGUUUGGAGACAUGGGCAUGCAUAAGUCCAAGAAUCUGGCCAUCUUGCUAUUGCUUUUGAUGAUCUUUGGUUCAUCUCAAUGCACACGAGAUUUUGGUUUUCACUCUCACAAUCAUUAUCCUCAAAAGUAUGCAAGGGUGUUUGCUACACUUGGAGUGGAGUGUAGGUGUUGUGAUGGAGCAUCAAGUAAUGAAAGGUGCAAAAGCAUAUGGGAAGGAUCUUGCUCUAAGCUACAAUGCCUCUCAUGGAAAGAUCAUCGUGUUUAAUGGCAUGAAAUUACAUGAUUCUUUACAAUUCAUAGCGAAGAAUAAAUAUGUGAAACUUUAUUAUUUAAAUUGUAUCCAAAUAUGAUUUGUUU